rnacentral:rRNA from 1 species
CCUACGUGAGGCAGCAGUAGGGAAUAUUGGGCAAUGGGCGAAAGCCUGACCCAGCCACGCCGCGUGCAGGAAGACGGCCCUCUGGGUUGUAAACUGCUUUUGACUGGGAAGAAAGAAGCUCAUGCGUGAGAAGUUGACGGUACCAGUCGAAUAAGCCACGGCUAACUACGUGCCAGCAGCCGCGGUAAUACGUAGGUGGCAAGCGUUAUCCGGAUUUAUUGGGUUUAAAGGGAGCGUAGGCGGCUUAAUAAGUCAGUGGUUAAAGGUAGCAGCUUAACUGUUUUACAUGCCACUGAUACUGUUGAGCUUGAGUUGACAGAAGGCAGAUAGAAUUUCUGGUGUAGCGGUGAAAUGCUUAGAUACCAGAAGGAAUACCGAUUGCGAAGGCAGUCUGCUGCAGUCACACUGACGCUGAGGCUCGAAGGUGCGGGGAUCAAACAGGAUUAGAUACCCUGGUAGUCCGCACAGUAAACGAUGAUUACUAGAUGUUGGCCAAGCCAGUGUCCAAGGGAAACCGAUAAGUAAUCCACCUGGGGAGUACGCCGGCAACGGUGAAACUCAAAUAGAAGUUAGACGGCGUGAGACGUUAGCCGACGGACGACGACGAGGGAGGAGG